rnacentral:rRNA from 1 species
AUUGAACGCUGGCGGCAUGCUUUACACAUGCAAGUCGAACGGUAACAGGGUGCUUACACCGCUGACGAGUGGCGAACGGGUGAGUAAUGCGUCGGAACGUGCCGAGUAGUGGGGGAUAACGCAGCGAAAGUUGUGCUAAUACCGCAUACGUACUGAGGUAGAAAGUGGGGGACUUUCGGGCCUCACGCUAUUCGAGCGGCCGACGUCUGAUUAGCUAGUAGGUGAGGUAAAGGCUCACCUAGGCGACGAUCAGUAGCGGGUCUGAGAGGAUGAUCCGCCACACUGGGACUGAGACACGGCCCAGACUCCUACGGGAGGCAGCAGUGGGGAAUUUUGGACAAUGGGCGAAAGCCUGAUCCAGCCAUGCCGCGUGUCUGAAGAAGGCCUUCGGGUUGUAAAGGACUUUUGUCAGGGAGGAAAUCCCUAGUGCUAAUAACACUGGGGGAUGACAGUACCUGAAGAAUAAGCACCGGCUAACUACGUGCCAGCCGCCGCGGUAA